rnacentral:rRNA from 1 species
AGUCACUGACAUUAGAUACCCCCGUAGUCCAGGGUGUAAACGCUGCAGACUUGGUGUUGGAAGCCCUUUGGGGGCAUUCAGUGCCGGAGAGAAGUUGUUAAGUCUGCUACUUGGGGGAGUACGUCCGCAAGGAUGAAACUUAAAGGAAUUGGCGGGGGAGCACCGCAACGGGAGGAGCGUGCGGUUUAAUUGGAUUCAACACCGUAAAACUCACCAGGGAAGACUGUUACAUGAAGGCCGAGAUGAAGACUCUGCUAGAUUUUCAG